GAUGAAAGAACGCAGUGAAAUGCGAUAAUUAAUGUGAAUUGCAGAAUUCAGUGAAUCAUCGAGUCUUUGAACGCACAUUGCGCCCCCUGGUAUUCCGGGGGGCAUGCCUGUCCGAGCGUCAUUGCUGCCCUCAAGCACGGCUUGUGUGUUGGGCUUCCGUCCCUGGCAACGGGGACGGGCCCAAAAGGCAGUGGCGGCACCAUGUCUGGUCCUCGAGCGUAUGGGGCUUUGUCACCCGCUCCCGUAGGUCCAGCUGGCAGCUAGCCUCGCAACCAAUCUUUUUAACCAGGUUGACCUCGGAUCAGGUAGGGAUACCCGCUGAACUUAAGCAUAUCAAUAAGCGGAGGA
rnacentral:misc_RNA from 1 species